GAUGAACGCUGGCGGCGUGCCUAAUACAUGCAAGUCGAGCGGACGGACGCUAAGCUUGCGUCUCUCAUGUUAGCCGCGCACGUGUGUGUCACACGUGGAUCCCCUCCCUGUCAGUCUGGUAUCACUUCGGAAAUCCGGCUCUUAUCCGAUAUGAUAUUUUGAUCCACAUUGUUCAAAAGUGAAUUACGGUCUUGCUGUCACUUAUAGCUGGAUCUCCGCUGCAUUAGCUAGUUGGUAAGGUAACGGCCUACCAAGGCAACGAGGCAUAGCCGACCUGAGAGGGGGAUAGGCCACACUGGAAGGGAGACACGGACCAGACGCCUAAGGGACGCAGCAGAAGGGAACCUUCCGCAAUGGGCGAAAGCCUGACGGAGCAACGCCGAGCGAGUGAUGAAGGUCCUCGGUUCGGAAAACUCUGUUACUAGGGAAGAACAUAUGUGUAAGUAACUGUGCACAGCUUGACGGUACCUAAUAAGAAAGCAACGGCUAACUACGUG
rnacentral:rRNA from 1 species